rnacentral:lncRNA from 1 species
CGCUCACAUGUUUAACAGAUAUUGUUUGCAAACUUUUGGAUUGUCGUACGCUUCAUGUCGGAAUAUCCUUUACAAAGCUUGGAUCUGAAAAGCUGCUGAUAUAUGGGGAAGAAACAGACUCCAUUUCCUCAUUUUGUCUUCUGGUAAGAGCUGUACCAACUAUGAAUUGCGUGAUGAUUUCAACUUGCGAUAACACUACCGGCAGCAUCUGAUCGCUGAAGGCAUACAUGCAAGUUUCUGAGCAUGAGCUGUGCUGUGUCAAACUCCAGCGAUGUUAGAAAGAAGAAAGGACAACCACUGAGCCAGAGAGAUUGGAAAAACAGAGCCAGGGAAAUCCUCGGCACUCCUGAUUUCCAUGGCCUGACUGCCUGCUGUCCACUACACAAUGUUAUUAUGGGGCUGCACAGCGGUGGGUUCAGCUGGUGCCUGCUGAGUGGCAGGUCCUGCUCGAGGUGCCCUGUGAUGGACUGCUGUCUCGUCCCGUCCUGUCCCGUCCCAUCCGGGGUGUGUCCCCCCUCAGCCCUGCUCCCUGAACCGCCGGGCAAGGCGCCAGCUUGCCGCGACCCCGCUGGGGACAAUGGAUGGAUGGAUUUUCUGCUUCUUUCUUUUUAAAAGCGAUAGCUGAGUAACCAAACACCAACAACAGUUCAUGUGACAUCAUGUUGUCAUGAUCACACUUCGUUAUUUAAACCUGCAGGUACAAUUUGAGAAAGUGAACUAUUUGUUGGGCGGUGUUGCCGCAUUAAGGGGAACGCAGCAGGUUUGGCCGCGUCCUGCUCUUCGGUGGGUCUGGGAUUCGAGUCCUGUUUGGGGUGCAUUGUGACACUCCGGCGUCUCGUCUUGUGUGUUGGACCCCCCUCCCAACCCCCUUACGCCCUGUGUUGCUGGGUUAGGCUCUGAUUUGCCGCGACCUCGCUCGCAACAAGUUGUUUCGACCAGUGUGUGUGCGCACUG